CGAUUGUACUGCAUGUGCAAUACGUAAUGUUUAACGACAGCCAUUGGUCACGGAUCGUGUGAUACGAGUGUUUAAUUUUAUUUUUUAAACAAUUACUGACGAUAUUUUUAUGUCAACAAUUAUUUUGUUGUAAGUUAUAACCAUUUAAAGCUUGCAUCGGAUCAAAUUUAAUAAAAUAAAACUAGAGUGUGAUGACUAAAAAAUAUCGACAGGAGCGAAGAUAAAUAAUCAGCUAAGGAGCAUUGAAGCCUGAGCUUAUGCUAAAUUAAAUGAUAGUGGAAUGAAUGCCAGAGCUUGGAGUCCAGUACAGUAACUACAUAUAAAUGUAUACAUGUCGUCCGGAGGUUGUUAUGCAGCAGACAGCACACACAUAAACAGGAGACAUGUGUGCAGAGAUACCAGCAUACAGAGCGGGUUAGGCUGGAAUAGCUGGUGAUAUUGAGGUGGUACUAAAAAAGAUAAGAUAGAGAGUCUUAUCUUCCUUGGAUUACAUUUAAGUUCACCUGCCUCUAUCCUAUCCUCUAUAUAGAGUAGAGGAUUGAGUUUUGACUCGAAUUGCAAUCUGGCGGAAGAUCGUGACUCACCUGGGAGCCGUCGGCCCCUUAUUUCAAUAAUCGAGCACUUGCGUUCCUACCGGAGGCUGGAAAAUGGUGA